GCAGCAGCCGCGGGAAAACAGAGGGUGCGAGCGUUAAUCGGAUUUACUGGGCGUAAAGCGUGCGUAGGCGGCUUUUUAAGUCGGAUGUGAAAUCCCUGAGCUUAACUUAGGAAUUGCAUUCGAUACUGGGAAGCUAGAGUAUGGGAGAGGAUGGUAGAAUUCCAGGUGUAGCGGUGAAAUGCGUAGAGAUCUGGAGGAAUACCGAUGGCGAAGGCAGCCAUCUGGCCUAAUACUGACGCUGAGGUACGAAAGCAUGGGGAGCAAACAGGAUUAGAGACCCCUGUAGUCCCUGUCUCUUAUA
rnacentral:rRNA from 1 species